rnacentral:rRNA from 1 species
AGUGAGCGCUGGCGGUAGGCCUAACACAUGCAAGUCGAACGGCAGCACAGGAGAGCUUGUUCUCUGGGUGGCGAGUGGCGGACGGGUGAGGAAUACAUCGGAAUCUACUCUGUCGUGGGGGAUAACGUAGGGAAACUUACGCUAAUACCGCAUACGACCUACGGGUGAAAGCAGGGGACCUUCGGGCCUUGCGCGAUUGAAUGAGCCGAUGUCGGAUUAGCUAGUUGGCGGGGUAACGACCCACCAAGGCGACGAUCCGUAGCUGGUCUGAGAGGAUGAUCAGCCACACUGGAACUGAGACACGGUCCAGAUUCCUACGGGAAGCAGCAGUGGGGAAUAUUGGACAAUGGGCGCAAGCCUGAUCCAGCCAUACCGCGUGGGUGAAGAAGGCCUUCGGGUUGUAAAGCCCUUUUGUUGGGAAAGAAAUCCAGCUGGCUAAUACCCGGUUGGGAUGACGGUACCCAAAGAAUAAGCACCGGCUAACUUCGUGCCAGCCGCCGCCGUAA